CCCAGGUCAGGCGGGGGCUACC
rnacentral:rRNA from 1 species